UACGUAGGGAGCAAGCGUUGUCCGGAAUCAUUGGGCGUAAAGCGCGCGUAGGCGGCCCCGUAAGUCCGCUGUGAAAGUCAAAGGCUCAACCUUUGAAAGCCGGUGGAUACUGUGGGGCUAGAGUCCGGAAGAGGCGAGUGGAAUUCCUGGUGUAGCGGUGGAAUGCGCAGAUAUCAGGAGGAACACCGGUGGCGAAGGCGGGUCUCUGGGCAAUUCCUGACGCUGAGGCGCGAAAGCGUGGGGAGCAAACGGG
rnacentral:rRNA from 1 species